CAUAAUUAACACUUUGUCCUUGCAUUUUAAAAUUACCUUACUUUAUCCUCCUAGUUCAUUAUUUGAGAUUUAGGUACUCUAGUAAAAUUAGCAGGACUUACCUUAUAUAUAUAAGAAAUUAAAAAAAAAUUACAUUUUUGUUCUUAUGUUUUGACAUAAUUAACCUGUUCCAUCAGCAUGAAGAGUGGGAGUAAUAAGCAAAGCAAACUUAUCUUUUAUUUUAAUUGGAUAAAUCUCUGUUUUACAUCAAGUGUAAUCUGCAUGUCGAACCUCUCGCCAUGUGCUUC
rnacentral:lncRNA from 1 species